GGUCUGACGCAGCCUGAUCAGCCAUGCCGCGUGCGGGAAGAAGGCCUUCGGGUUGUAAACCGCUUUUGUCAGGGAAGAAAAGGUUCUGGCUAAUACCUGGGACUCAUGACGGUACCUGAAGAAUAAGCACCGGCUAACUACGUGCCAGCAGCCGCGGUAAUACGUAGGGUGCAAGCGUUAAUCGGAAUUACUGGGCGUAAAGCGUGCGCAGGCGGUUAUGCAAGACAGAGGUGAAAUCCCCGGGCUCAACCUGGGAACUGCCUUUGUGACUGCAUGGCUAGAGUACGGUAGAGGGGGAUGGAAUUCCGCGUGUAGCAGUGAAAUGCGUAGAUAUGCGGAGGAACACCGAUGGCGAAGGCAAUCCCCUGGACCUGUACUGACGCUCAUGCACGAAAGCGUGGGGAGCAAACAGGAUUAGAUACCCUGGUAGUCCACGCCCUAAACGAUGUCAACUGGUUGUUGGGAGGGUUUCUUCUCAGUAACGUAGCUAACGCGUGAAGUUGACCGCCUGGGGAGUACGGCCGCAAGGUUGAAACUCAAUGAAAUUUGACGG
rnacentral:rRNA from 1 species